CAACAAUCCAGCCCAAUCCUGCAGCACACUUGAGCCAAGCCUUGCAGCAGCACCAUAACCUGACCAUUGUAACAUUCCCACAUGCAUUUGGCCUUGAAUUUAUGAUGAUGGAGAAGGCUCAUGGAAAGCUGCAACAUAAAAUCCUCCCUGCAAGAAAAUUCCAACAUAACCAAACUCAAUCAUGUCCAAACCAUCAAGAAUACCGUAUCCAAACCAGUUGGCAUUAUGCCAACAAGCCAUACCAAGAAACAUCCUGCUAAAAUACCUGCAGACUAAACCAAAUCACCAUCGAGGCUUAAUGCAGAAUGAGCACAGUCCGCCAUGUACCUGCAGCAACAGACCUAGCAAGUAGCAGACCCUGCAUAAUCCUACAUGGAAGUUUCAAAAACCAGUUCAUUAAGGCAACAAGCAGGUGGGAAACAAUGGACAAUAAUCCUUCAUUGAAGCUUAUUAUAAGUCAGUGGAAUCAUGACCCUGAACGAGUCCCCAAAACAUUAAACAUAAACACCUGUGUGAUGCCUACCAAGCCUGUACAACAAGACCAGCAGGGAUACCUAAACGUCACAUACUUAACAUGGUCAAUGCAGAUCAAAGUCCAUUAGCAAUAGCUAACCAUUCAUCUUACCCAAUGCAGCAAGCCAAAGCAUAAUGACAAAUAGUCCAAGCAACCAUGCAAACUCAGUCCCUACAUCAGCCUAGCAAAUAACCAUUUAACUGUUAACACAGGCAUCCUGCAGACCUGAAGAAACAGAAAAAUGGACAGCAAAACAUCAUAAACCAAAAUGAAACCUAUAGAGAAGACAUGGAAAAGAUGUUGAACCAUAUGGCAAUGUUGAAAAUCGAGCACAAUUCAGAGGGCAUACCAUAACCACAUGCUGAAGAAAUCAAUCAGGAAAUGGACAUUGAACAUGCUGCAAAACCAGUGCACCAUAAGUCAACAGGUUGUUGUGUAAAGAUCCAUUUGGUUAAGCUAACAAUGCUCAAGGAUUUUCUAACCUGCAAUGAGGCCUUUAAACCAAGCUGAAAGUCUUGUUGCAACACACCAAGUCACAAGGCAAACUUCAGGUAAGCAUUAUGGAAGCCAAAACUUAU
rnacentral:lncRNA from 1 species